UACGGAGGAUCCAAGCGUUGUCCGGAUUUAUUGGGUUUAAAGGGUGCGUAGGCGGAUUAUUAAGUCAGUGGUGAAAGCCGACAGCUCAACUGUCGAACUGCCAUUGAAACUGAUAAUCUUGAGUACACUUGAGGUGGGCGGAAUGUAUCAUGUAGCGGUGAAAUGCUUAGAUAUGAUACAGAACACCAAUUGCGAAGGCAGCUCACUAAAGUGUUACUGACGCUGAGGCACGAAAGCGUGGGGAUCAAACAGG
rnacentral:rRNA from 1 species